rnacentral:tRNA from 1 species
UCUAAUAUGGCAGAAUAGUGCAUUGGAUUUAAACCCCAAUUAUAAAGUUAUCUUUUUUUAGAU